GAAAACCCAAAAUUAUAUAAAACAUCUCUGUAUCAAAAACAUAUAACACAUUCUAAUAGAAAUACCAGCUAAAACAUCAGAUAACUAAACUUAUCCUAAUAUGAUAAACAUCGAAACAUUUAAAACCAAGUGUUUGUAGCCUAUCUUCGAAUUGUACUUGUUAACAUAGCUUCAAUUUGUGACAUCCUAUCAAGCAUAGUAUCUUUCUCCACCUUAUCGUUUUUUUUUCAGCCAACAACCCCGCAAUAAUCCCAUUUAACCUUUCUUUUUCUUCAUCUGUUUCCUUAAUGAGCUCCUUAUAACUAAGUUCAACUUUUCAAUCUACAAAACAACCAAUGAAUUGAAUCAAGAAGUCAGAAUUCAUGAAAACUAAUAACGGGUCAAGUUGAUUGCAAAGAAAACAAUAUCCGAUUGUGAGCUACAAUUCAAGUGCUAGAAGCUAAAAAGCAUGAUUCGUUAUGUUUACGGUUAAGAAUUAAAUUCUACUUUAUUUCAAAAACAAAUUUUUGUAUUAUAAACCUAUAGAGAAAGUGUAAUCAACUCAAUAAAAAAUUCCUAAAAUUCUCACUAAAUUAAAAGCAUCAAACCUAACAAUAAAAAAACAAACAUCACAAACUAAACAAACACAAUAGCGCAGUGGGAAACAAUACAAAUGGACACAAAUUACUUGUGUAUUUGAUUCCACUUAUGCCAAAGAGUAAAUAGUUUUAUUUAUAUUUGAAAAAAUUAGUCUAUAAAUGAUUAAACAUACCUCAAGGUCUUCUCUCUGCUAUGUACACGAGUGUCACUAACAUUGCCAAAACAGUAUACUUUUCCUCUAUUAUUGCCCCCGGCUCUUGGCUACAGUUGAGAAAGGAGUUGUACCAUCAAGAUUUGAUAGUCUAAGACAUAGCUUUCUAUUCCUAACGACUAAAGGUCAGAAUAUUAGCCUAAUUUUCAAAAAAUUACAAUCCUACAUUAACACAUCAAAAUUUCCUAUAUCAUUUGAACCAACAAACAGCCCAGUUAUGCCAUUAUUAGCUCAUUGGACCAUUAUAUUGAAGAAUGGAAUGGGUUGUGGUGAUUGCUUUAACCUCACCCCUAGUUCUAUAGUUCUAUUAAAAAACUGUUGAAAAUAAAGUGCAAACGGGAUUAAAAAAUUGUGAUAUGGAUAUGGAGUUUUCAUUUAAAUACUGACUAGUACCAAAUUUCCUGAUGAAAUUCACAUUCAAACUUUUGCAGAUAAUAUAAAUGAAUAAAAACCGUACUUUUAUCCUUACGAAGAGCUUUAAGCUUCUUCGGCCGGAGCUAAGUGGCCAGCGAGCGGUGUUGAGCCGCUACUAUAUACAUCUUCACUCCAUUUAUAGAUGUAGACUUUAGGUUACCUCGUUGGUAAGCCAUGAUGACUAUCCUUGCACUUUCUCAACCCAAGAGCUGUACAGGUAAUGCCAUAUUAACAAAUUAAUUAUCAUUAACAUAAACGAACUGGUAAACUUGAAUAAUUUAAAACAACGAAACUCGACAAUUGAUUCUAAACUAGCAGUGAAGAAAUAACAGAUUACAAUUUUCAACAAAAAGAUACAUUUUUAACCCGAUAUAUGUAAUGUCAUAUUAAUGAAUAAUCAAUGAUCAUUAACAUAAACGAAGUCGUAGAUUUCAAUAAUUUAAAACAACGAACUCAACAAUCGAUUCUAAACCAGCAGCAGAGAAAUAAGUCACGGAUUUUAAUUUUCAAAUAACAGAUGUUAGGGAUGAGCAAAUGGUACCCGGUACUGGUACCGAACCGGGUACAUUUUCGUACCGGUACCUAAUUUUGGGGAUUUUGGGUACCGGUGCAAAUCAUAUAACUUCAUACUAACUUACUAACGACUCAAUGUUAGAAUUUAUAUGUAGCCAACCACUAAAAACUCACAAUCCUUACUGCAUGCCACUGCUUCAAUGUUGUUUGUAACACCCUGAUCCCAUAGCUGGCUAAAAUGCUAACACAUACCUGUUUAUUUGUUCAUAUCACCAGAUCAGCCAAAACCUUAUAAAAGGCUUAUAAAAGGCUCCAAACCUUAGUGAUAAGUUCCAAGUGAUAACUCAUAGCCAGCAUGAGAUUAAAAGUGACAAUAAAAUUCCAUAAUUAUUUUAGCUUUUUUGAACUAGCACUAACACUCCCACAGCUCAACUUCUUUAACAAUUAGAGUACUGUCAUUAGUCUUCUAAACAUUUACAAUAUUUAAAAGAGUAAUAAACAAUAUUAGAUACAUAAUACAUGGAGUACUGUCAUCAUGAGGUUUAACUACUAUCACAUACAAAAUCAUUACUCACAUUUUAACUAAAUAACUUAUCCAAAUUCUAUAAAUAUAGAAGAAUUAACUCACAUUUUGCAAGCUUAGCUACCUUGUGCGACGUAUGGUGAAUACCGUACCGAAUUUUAGAAGCUCUCUUGUUAAACUCCGAUUGAGAUUGAAACGCUAUACUCGAUUGUGAUCCCUCAUCCCUACUAAAACCACCACCACCAACGCUACCGUUAACUCAACUCCGUGUGUUAACGAUUUUCUUAACCUCUUAGUUAUGCUUGAAAACUCAUGUGUACGAAUUUUUUAACCUCUACACGUAUAGAGCUUGUAACAUGUGUAGAUUUAUAGCACAAAAUGUACAGUGCUUGUAAAUCAUCCUAUAACUUCACAAAAUGCAUAGUAAGUUAAAAGCGAAAUGAUGGGCCUCAAAAACACCAUCAAUUGUGUAUAUUUAUGUAAUGCCUGAAAGCCCAUAUAAACAGUAAAACAAAAUAAUAGAUUAGUAAAUUGAGUUCAAAUGCUGCAAAAACUCUUUCUAAACCGAUUAAGCAUCUAAAAUUCAUUUUACCAUCAAGUUCUAUUCUCCAAAUAAUGUCGUACCUAAUAAUGACGGAAACUGGUGUAAUCCUCCCCAACAUCAUUUUGAUCUCUAUAAGCUGUAUUUCAGCGAAUACAGAGCUGAUAUCUUCAAUUUGAUUACAGAAGGUAUUAAUUAAAUAAUGCCUUACCCGAUUAACCUACAAGUGUCUUCCUUAAGAAACAUAUAUCAUGUGUGGUGAUUCUAAAUAACAUAAGACCGUUAGCCAUAGCCAUUAGCCCACGCUGCCCAACGCCGCUAACCACGCCGCUUCCACACCCCACUUUUUGGGGGUGGUCCGGUGGACCCACUAUCGCCACAUGUGGAGCAAAGCCCCCAACCCAAGCCCCAUCAUUCCCUGCAGUCUAAAUUUCACAUUUUAACGUUGAUUAAAUUCACUCACACACAAAAUAGAUAAGAACAAGAAUGAGUAAUAAAUAAGAAGCUGCGAUCAAAGCUUUGUUUAUUUUUUUUAUCAUCUUCUAAAGUAAGAAAUCAAAGCCAAAAAUCAAUUGAAAGGCAAACAAAUCAACAAUAAACACGAAAAAAAGCUCAUAAAUACUUCAUCAACAAUGAAAAUAGAAUCUUAAAAUUUGACCAAAAGCAAAAUACAUACCUUAGAUUAAGAAUAACAAGAUGUUGGUCAUAGUUCACAACAAACUGAACCCUAAGAAAUCAUUAGCUCAUUGCUGAAGUCCAACGGUCGCCACUUUUGGGAGCAAUUAGGGUUUUGGAUCGAUUAGGGUUUUGGAUGGGAGGAUGAUUCAAUUAGUGAUGGUGGAGUGGAGGAAGAUUCGAUUAGUGACGGUGGAGCAGAGGUGAUGCUUCUAGAGAUUUUGGGGAGCAAAGUUCAGAAUCAGAACCCUAGAUAAUUGAUAUCCCGCUU
rnacentral:lncRNA from 1 species